GCUAGAGUGCAGGAGAGGAAGGUAGAAUUCCCGGUGUAGCGGUGAAUGCGUAGAGAUCGGGAGGAAUACCAGUGGCGAAGGCGGCCUUCUGGACUGACACUGACANUGAGGUGCGAAAGCGUGGGUAGCAAACAGGAUUAGAUACCCUGGUAGUCCACGCNGUNAACGAUGUCGACCAGCCGUUGGGUGCCUAGCGCACUUUGUGGCGAAGUUAACGNGAUAAGUCGACCGCCUGGGGAGUACGGCCGCAAGGUUAAAACUCAAAUGAAUUGACGGGGGCCCGCACAAGCGGUGGAGCAUGUGGUUUANUUCGAUGCAACGCGAAGAACCUUACCUACUCUUGACAUCCUGCGAACUUGUGAGAGAUCACUUGGUGCCUUCGGGAACGCAGAGACAGGUGCUGCAUGGCUGUNGUCAGCUCGUGUUNUGAAAUGUUGGGUUAAGUCCCGUAACGAGCGCANCCCUUGUCCUUAUUUGCCAGCGGGUAAUGCCGGGAACUCUAAGGAGACUGCCGGUGACAAACCGGAGGAAGGUGGGGANGACGUCAAGUCAUCAUGGCCCUUACGAGUAGGGCUACACACGUGCUACAAUGGCCGGUACAAAGGGUUGCGAGCUCGCGAGAGUCAGCUAAUCCNGAAAAGCCGGUCUCAGUCCGGAUCGGAGUCUGCAACUCGACUCCGUGAAGUCGGAAUCGCUAGUAAUCGUGAAUCAGAAUGUCACGGUGAAUACGUUCCCGGGCCUUGUACACACCGCCCGUCACACCAUGGGAGUGGACUGCACCAGAAGUGGUUAGCUUAACCUUCGGGAAAGCG
rnacentral:rRNA from 1 species